GUUACUAAAGUACUUUUUCUGUAGACUAGCACCUUUGGAGAAGGAAACAAUCUCACAACAAACUAUAUUAUUAAGAUACUUGGUUUGUCUGAUUGUGCUAAUACCCUAGUGGGUGAUGAGUUGAGAAGAUGUAUAUCAGGAGGACAAAAGAAAAGAGCCACAAUCGAAGAGAUGCUAGUAGGUCUGGCACGAUGCUUCUUUAUGGAUGAUAUAUCAACAGGCCUAGAUAGCUCCACCACAUAUGAGAUUUUAAAAUUUGUCCAACAAAUGACUCAUCUGAUGGAUCUCACCAUGGUUAUUUCGUUGCUGCAACCACCUCCCGAGACAUUGGAAUUAUUUGAUGACAUUAUCCUAUUAUGCGAGGGUCAAAUUGUGUAUCAUGGUCCUCGAGAAAAUGCUAUCAAUUUUUUCGGAAUAAUGGGAUUCAAAUGCCCCGACAGCAAGAAUGUAGUUGAUUUCCUUCAAGAGGUACUAGAUUAA
rnacentral:rRNA from 1 species